rnacentral:rRNA from 1 species
UACAGAGGGUGCGAGCGUUUGUUCGGAAUUAUUGGGCGUAAAGGGCGCGUAGGCAGUGCGGUAAGUCACCUGUGAAAUCUCCUGGCUCAACUGGGAGCUUGCAGGCGAAACUGCCGUGCUGGAGUGUGGGAGAGGUGCGUGGAAUUCCUGGUGUAGCGGUGAAAUGCGUAGAUAUCAGGAGGAACACCGGUGGCGAAGGCGGGUCUCUGGGCAACAACUGACGCUGAGGAGCGAAAGCGUGGGGAGCGAACAGG